rnacentral:rRNA from 1 species
AUGGACGUGGACUGCGAGGUCUCGGCGGCCGCGGCCGCGGCGGUGACGAACGGGCUGGGCGGCGAGGGUCAGCCCUCCGCGGCGCCGGUCUCCGCCGACCAGCUCGACGUGGAGGCGUACGCGGCGCAGUACUCGGGCCGGACCCGCGUGGCGCGGCUCCUCUUCAUCGCGGAGCGGUGCGGGGUGGAGGCGAUCCAGCUCGAGGCGCUGCGGAUGGCGCACGACGAGGCCAGGGCGCGCGAGGACACCGUGCUCUACCUCGACGCCGUCCUCAAGAUCAACGGCCGCCUCGGCCCGCGCUACCGCCACGACCAGGCCUGGGUCGACUCCGUCAACCGCCGCGCCGAGCAGCGCAAGGAGAAGCUCGAGACCGAACUCAACGGCUACAGGACUAACCUGAUCAAAGAGAGCAUCAGAAUGGGUUAUAACGACAUUGGUGACUUCUUCUAUGCUCAUGGCCACCUUUCAGAAGCCUUCAAAAGCUAUAUCCGGACACGGGACUAUUGCACCACUUCCAAGCAUAUAGUUCAGAUGUGUAUGCAUGUGAUUCUGGUCAGCAUUGAGUUGGGACAGUUUGCGCAUGUUACCAACUAUGUCAGCAAAGCAGAGCAAACCCCAGACACCUUGGAUGCUGUCAUUGUUGCAAAGUUGCGAGCAGCUGCAGGAUUAGCCAACUUGGAGACAAAGAAAUACAAACUUGCUGCCCGUAAGUUUCUCGAGACAGGACCUGAACUAGGAAGCAACUAUUCUGAAGUCAUAGCUCCGCAAGAUGUGGCUGUCUGUGGUGCCCUUUGUGCUCUUGCUUCUUUCGAUCGUUCAGAACUGAAGAGCAAAGUUAUUGACAACAUAAACUUCCGUAACUUUCUUGAGCUAGUGCCUGAAGUAAGGGAGCUGGUCAAUGAUUUCUAUGCAAGUCGCUAUGGAUCAUGCUUGGAGCAUCUUGAGAAGCUAAAGCCGAAUCUCCUUCUGGAUAUCCAUCUCCGUGAGCAUCUUGGGACUCUGUACAAUGAUAUCCGCCACAAAGCUAUCAUACAGUACACGCUUCCGUUCAUAUCUGUAGAUCUCAACACAAUGGCUAGUGCCUUCAAGAGCUCAGUAUCGAUGCUGGAGAAAGAGCUGGCUGCACUGAUCACCGAGAACAAAAUACAGGCUCGGAUAGACUCCCACAACAAGAUCCUGUAUGCAAGGCAUGCUGACCAAAGAAACGCAACCUUCCAGCGGGCCCUCCAGACUGGCAAUGAGUUUGAGAGAGAUAUCAAGGCCAUGCUCCUGAGAGCCAACCUCAUCAAGCAUGAUUUCAACCAGAAGAACUGGCCUGGACAAAGGAAGAUGAACCUGUGA